rnacentral:snoRNA from 1 species
AUGAUGUACAGAGGUGGCCCCCUCAGCGAUUUUAUGAGCGAGGGUUGGGGGUGCUGA